rnacentral:snRNA from 15 species
GAGGAGCGUGUGGCCAAGGCCAUUGAGCGCAUCCAGAAGUGCAAGGGCAAGGCCAACCAGGGGCGGCUGGAGUCCUUCUUUGGGGCGGCGACCGUGAUCCCAUCGGCCAAGAAGAUGGAGUCGAAGAUUCUUGGCAAGGGUAAGGCCAAGGGCCAGGCUGGCAAGCC